UUACGAAUCUCUGGGGAGGAUAGACCCUUUAAUGUUUUUUUUUACCGUUAAAUAAUAUUUGAAAUAAUGGAAGGUUGAGUUUUUUCACUUGGAACCCAUUUUGGUUUUCUUAAUUUUUCAUAUUUAAUUAACUUCAAGAGGUUACAUUUUAAUCCUCCUUCAGGGUAGAAGAAAGUCAGAUAUGGCUUUAGGGCACCAUCGUCGAAGACAGCAAUCUGAAGCUUUUCUCCUUUUUCAUUGCUUUUACCUUUUAAUCAACUUAAUUAGGAGUUUUCACAGGCC
rnacentral:lncRNA from 1 species